AGAGGAGGGGUCCAAGGUAGGACAGGGCUGCAGUCUGCUGUGAGCUGUGGGAAGCAGGCACCCCCUGUGGAGCACGUGCCAGGAGGCAGGGGUCCUACCAACCAUCCAAUGAGCCAGCUGAGGACGUGGGCGGGACUGUCCCCUCUGGGGAGCUGCCGAGACUGGGGGUGGCUCCAAGGCCCAUUUGGCCUGAUACUACCCCCACUGAUGGUCCUCUGCCUGUGGCUCCAGAUGGGCCCUUGCCUUGGUUCCCCUGAGUCCGUGGCUCUCAGGCCUUAUGACCUCCAGGGCCGGAGUGGGUGGGUCUACUUUGCUGGGACAGCCCAGGAUAACUUGAAGGGGAGGACAGCUGACCAUGCACCCACACCACACAGCAAAGUGUAACAUGGCCCACCCCUAGCAGGAUGCGCAUGAAGGAUACAGGAUGACAGAGGAAGGGAUGGGUAGGUGGUGUCCCUAAAAGGGGGCUCAGGAGAGCACCCUGGGUCCCUGUCCUUGGGGAUCCCUCUACCUCGACCCCCAAAGCCUCAGGACAGGAUGGAGCUCGGGCCAGGGCCGAGGAAGGGGCAGGCAGGUGCCGCCAUUCCAGCCCUCAUGCCUGCCACAGGCAGCCUGGACUCCCAGCACUGGACUUACCCCAGAGGGCAGUGUCCCCAGAGUAGCUCUGGGCGCCCACAGAGAGUGGGUGCCCUGGAGGUGAUAGUUUCCUGCAUCUCAAUGCCAGGGUAGGCUGCUCUGGACAGGAAGCCCUGGGCCACCGAGUCUUGCACCCCACACCCUGGGUCCUUUCCCAGCAGGACUGGCCUUCCCCAGUACUGACUGACUCAUCAGCUGUCACCCUCUCCUCUGCAGCCUCAGAGGUGCCUCCAAAAUGUUCUUUAUGUCCUUGGCAUGCCAAGAACUAUUCUAAAUCAACAAGGAAAGGGAAGCUGGGUAGUACAAUCCCAUAGGCACAGGGGGCUUGUCCACAUCUUGGAAGUAGCAAAAAUCUGGACAUGAUUUCUGAGUAUACAAACACCAGAUGAUGCGGAGUCCAGAGCUGUGCCCUCACCCCCAGCCCUGCCCAGUAUUCCCAUUCUGGCUCCCUUGACAGUGUGCCUAUGUGGCUCUUGGGGCAUCUGGGAGGGGAGGAGGUAUGGCUGUCCUCAACUGAGCUGUGAGGAUGCCAGCCCCAGAGACUGUGUGGCCAUCUUGCCCCCACGGCAGCAGUUAGUCUGGCUUUCUAAGAGAAACUGCGUCACCUCCCCACCUCUGGUUACCAGAAACUUCCGGUAAAAAUAAAGGCUGGGCAAGGGGGUGGCUGCGCUGGGGAUCGACGGGAGGACAGCUUCCCGGGGCCAAAGGAAGCAGCAGCCUGGCCCCUCCUAGGGAUGAGCGGGCUUCGGACGAGGUCCCAGAGACCGCUGGGGUGGAGCCCGCAGGAGCGGUGCCGGGGAUGCGUCCUGCCCAGCCCCGCGAAGGACGGGUCCCCUCCCCCUGGCUCCCUCCUCUGGCCGCCCAGCCCGCACCCCAACACUGCGCGCUGCUCUCCGGGCCCCGGCUGAACCGCAGCGUCCGUCGGGCAGCGUUGUCGCGGGGCAGAGGGUUGGGGGUCCGGCUGGUGGCAACGCUGGCCCUGGCGGUGCGGGGCGCGGGCCCGGCGGGAAGCUCACUUCGUGCGCGCGGGGCUGGGCUGGAGACCGACUCUCGGCCGCGAGCGAAGAGCGAAGGGGACGCGGGGCAGCUGAUGGUGACCACCGCCACCAACUCUGACUUGGUUUUCGAGCAGAAGCAGGUGGCCCCUGCCCCCGAGUCCUGCAGGCCCCAUGAGUACUGGUCUUCUGGCCACUGCUGCAUAUUGUGCCCAGCUGGUACGUAUGUCGACGAGCCCUGCGGGAGCCCCCACAGCACCGGAGUGUGUGUGAAGUGUGACACAGGGACAUUCACGUCGUUCCCUAAUGGCCUUGAUUCCUGUUUCCUGUGCGACCUGUGCUCCAGUGAUGAAGAGAUGGUGGUGGACUGCACGUCAACCAGCAACCGCGUGUGCCGCUGCCAAACCGGUCAUUUCUACCGCCACAAAGACUUUUUUGAGUUUUGCAGCCCUUGUAGCACGUGUCCCAGAGGGAGUGUUGCCCUCCAGAAAUGCAAUGCUACAGCAGACACGGUGUGCAGCUUGCCUGACCCACUGAGCAGACACCGGUGGUUUUUGAUCGGGAGCUUUCUUUUUCUCCUGGUUAUUUUGGUCCUCGCCUUUGUCUACGCCGCAAAACCAGAAGACGGCAUCUCGGCCGGGUGCCGUUGUUGCCCCGAGGGAGUCAGCAGUGGAAGCGAGGAGAUGUUGACUGAUAAGUCAGCGUGCAGCACGCCAUGCAUCCAGAUCCAUCAUGCAGGGCCUCCAUUCCUCACGGUGGAAAACCGGGGCCUGUCUGCAGACGAUUUACAUAUGGUGUCGGAGGCCCCGACCCUCACUAGCACCUGGGGGAGCCCGGAGGAUGUCGAUGGCCUGCAGGCCGCAGCAAGUGAAGGAGGCCAGUCCCAGAGCGGUCGCCCGCCACCUGACCCUUCCGUGUCCUUCUGGACCUGUGGGUCAAGGUCCUGAUAUAUCUGAAACAGGUGGGAAGACAGCUGUGAGCAAGUCUGAAGUAGCAGCAAUGACAGAGUCUUUCCCAGCCAGGCUGCCCCAAGCCUCUCCCAGAGCAGCCCCUUAGGGCUCCAUUAACCCCAGUACCGCUGAGGACCCCAAGGACAGUGAGGUCACCUUGCUGGCCCCCACCCCUGCUGCCACCUGGAGAGGUCGCUGCCUGUUUGUGUGCUGAGUUCCAGAAAGCCAAAGGAGCAGACCUCUGAAUUCACCUGCCUAAUAAAUGUAUUGGAAGAACAUUAAAUCAUGCUGAGCAGAUGGUGGGCUGGAUGAGGAAAAGGAGCAACAAUUUUUUUUUUUUUUGAGCAGGCAUCUCAUAUUUAUUGAUCAAAUGGUUGUUAACAACAAUAAAAUUCUGUAUAGGGAACUCAAUUGUUGGGAGCCGGGGCUAUGUCCCUUCCCCCAUGUCUGAACGCAACGUGGGAAAGCACAAGCUUGAGAACAGCCCGUGCUGUCCUUGGAAGUCAUCUGCCCACAAAAGCAUAUCUUGUCCUCGAAGAAGAGCCAAGACUCCUCACUCUGAAAAUAGGGAGACCUUGAAGAUGUGUGGAAACACCGCCCCUGCUUCUGGCUAUGCCCUUCCCACACUUGCUGAUGUGGUGGCAAUGGAGAACAAAGAACAUCCUGGUCACGCAUUCCAUGAGCAACUAACGGAACUCUGCUGAGCCUACCUCUGCCCGGUUACCGCUGACGUCAACACUGUGCUUGAUUGUCUAUUGGACAAUGCUAUGUCCUGGAGUCAUGUAACCCCACUGCAUUAUAUAAACCCUGGACCUUCAAUAAAGUCUUGCUGGCGACGCGAAGGAGCGUCAGCCC